rnacentral:rRNA from 1 species
AGAGUUUGAUCCUGGCUCAGGACGAACGCUGGCGGCGUGCUUAACACAUGCAAGUCACGGGGGCUGGGCAACCAGCAACCGGCGAACGGGUGCGUAACACGUGAGCGACCUGCCCUUCCGCGGGGGAUAGCCGGCCCAACGGCCGGGUAAUACCGCAUACGCUUCGGCCCUCGCCUGGGGGCCCAAGGAAACUUCCGGGGCGGAGGGAGGGGCUCGCGGCCUAUCAGCUAGUUGGCGGGGUAACGGCCCACCAAGGCGGCGACGGGUAGCUGGUCUGAGAGGAUGGCCAGCCACAUUGGGACUGAGAGACGGCCCAGACUCCUACGGGAGGCAGCAGUGGGGAAUAUUGCGCAAUGGCCGCAAGGCUGACGCAGCGACGCCGCGUGUGGGAGGCGCCCCUCGGGGUGUAAACCACUGUUGCCCGGGACGAACAUCCCCUUUAGAGGGGACUGACGGUACCGGGUGAGGAAGCACCGGCUAACUCCGUGCCAGCAGCCGCGGUAAUACGGAGGGUGCGAGCGUUGUCGGAAUCACUGGGCGUAAAGGGCGCGUAGGCGGCGCGGCAAGCGUGCGGUGAAAGCCCGGGGCUCAACCCCGGGUCGGCCGUGCGAACUGCCGGGCUCGAGCACUGUAGGGGCAGGCGGAAUUCCGGGUGUAGCGGUGGAAUGCGUAGAGAUCCGGAAGAACACCGGUGGCGAAGGCGNNNNNCUGGGCAGUGCUGACGCUGAGGCGCGACAGCGUGGGGAGCAAACAGGAUUAGAUACCCUAGUAGUCC